CUAUUGUAUCGUCUGUUUCCCACGACAUGUCAUGAAUACGCCGUGUGAUACGAAAGUGUCUCAUAAAUUCACCUUGAGUACAAUACUAGAGAUAUGGCGUUCGGAUUUUUACUAGUAACAGCUAUAAUAGCUUUCGGAACAUAUUUUGCGACAAAAUAUUUUAUGAAUCGUCCAGAAAUUGAUAUGGAAAUCGAAACAGAAGCUGCUACCGAAACGCAUACGAAUAAAUAUUAUUUUUAACUUCACACUCUCUUCAGGAUAAUAGAGCACUUUUGGUAGGAGCCAUCAUGGUGUCCAUAUAUCUUGGAGGCAAAUAUCUAUUAGAAAUGGACCGUAUGAACAAUGACGUGCCUAUGGCGAAUUUAACUGGUCUAGGUUGAGAAACACGUUGUUUUAAUGUUACGUUAAUUUAAAUCUGUUAAAUUAGUUAAUUUUAAUUUAUUAUUAAUUUUAGGCGAAGAAAGGAUAGAACGAUUGUUGUCUGGAAAAUUGUAUUGAUAUGAUUUAUAAAUAAAAUGUUUCAGUGAAUAUGUCAUUAAUUUCAUUUUAAUCGCUAAAACGUCCGUAUAUUGACAGCCAUCUUACAUGAUUAAAUUUGUGUAUUUUAUCUUCAUUAAUUUUCAUAUUAUCUAAAUAUAAAAUUAUGUCAUACCAUUUAUCUUUCUUCGAAAAUAAUGUGGUAGAGUUCUUGAAGUUUGAUAUUCCUAACGUAUGUAUUAAAGCGGUGGUAAUCAAUAAUUAUUGAAUUGUUUUAGCAUUCGUGUAGAAAUAUUAUUAUAAUAAAAACAUUAUGAGCUAUGAAUAACGAAAAAUAGACAUUAAAAUGUCAGUAUAAAUAACACCAAGACCAAAUAGUAUCGUGAUUCAUUUGUUUUUGUUCAUAUUACAAUGAGCCAAACAAGAGUGUUAUUUUUUAAACAUAGCGAUGUUUUCACAAUGAAAUAUCAGCGGCUAUGAUUUUAUUGUUUAUAUUAUACUAAAUGAUCACUCGUUUGUUCAUCAGUCCAGUAUAAUCUCGGCUGUGAUUCAAAGGUGUUAUAAAUUAAUGUUAAACUUAAAAAAACGCUUUGACACAUUGUCUUCGUAAAGGUUAUGGAAGCUGGAUUGUUUUUAUUGACCGGAGUGCUAAUGUUUGGUUUGUUCUUGGUCGGUGAAGAUGUACGUAAAAUGGUAGAUAAAUUAAUUAAAUUAGAUGGAAAAACAGGUGACGGAUAUUCACAGUACGCUGAUUUCGCUAACGACUCACAAUUUUAAGGACCGAGAUUAUACUUAUACUGCGAUUUUUGUAACCAAAUACAAUAGCUGAGUCAUUUAGGAGAAAACUAUAAAUUAUUUUGAUGCUACAAGCUGGUGAUUAUUUACUAUGGCAGUGGGAAUUGUCCUCUUGCUCGGUGCCUUUGCUUUUUCAAUAUUUUGGACGACAAAAUUCGUCACAGAAGUUUAUGGUACAUCUAGUAAUGCUACUACGCCCUUCCCGGAUGUGACUCCGAAUUCACAUGCGGCAGAACUUAUUGAAUAUGUUGAAUAAUUAGUGAUUAAUUUGACUUGAUUUUAUAUGGUAUUUAGCAGCAAUUGAAGUUAUUGUAUUUACUCAUAAUGCACUAUAUCUAAUUUAACAAAUAUAUAUUAAGAUUACCAUAAUAAUAUGUAUAUGUCUGGCCGCCAUCUUUUAUUUGUGAACAGUUUCUAUCUCUAAAUAUUUUAUUAACGCUUUAACUGUCUAUUUUAAAACAUUAAAAAAAGUGAGCAUUUUACUUUAUAAUAAUGUAUUCCGAAAUGUUUCAGAUAUAUUGUUCACUAUUCGUUGGAUAUAACAUUAAAAUUCAAUAAAAUUACGUUUCCUUAACGUGACGGUAAUAAACGAUCUAACGGUAAUGGAUAUCUGGAAAGCGUUCUUGGUGCAGAGGUAUUAUAUAUCCCACACUGCAACCUAGGAAAUUAUUUAAGGCUUUUUAUUCAAAUUCAAUUUCGAAUUAUUCUCAUGUUCCCAGUUUGAAUAAAAAAAAUACGUUGUACAUUUUCUAUAUAUCCAUAUUUUAAGUUGCACAGUACUACAAUUAAUAAACGUCGUCCAACCAUCAAUAUAAAAAGGUAAGCCCGUAGUGGUACUAAAAGGAUUUUAAUCGCUAUAGAUGUGCAGGUGAGUUCUGCUAUUAGAAUUGGUAUUAAAUGUAUAUUUGAGAUCAUAGGCGUCUCAUAGGAGUGUAUGCCGCGGUCCAGUUUGACACAUGAGACCGAAGCCUCAACAAUAUUGCGUAACAGCUGCACCACACCAUGACAAUGAGUGCAUAAUGGUAGACUUGAACAGGAUUGUGGUAAUUGCAUAUUAAGCGAUUGAUAGCACGUGUUUCACUUUUAUUUAAAUAUGUUUUUUAUUUUCAAUCAAUAAUAAGACAUUCAGUGUUUUUAUCAAUUUUAUUAACGAUAACAGUAUUAACAAAACAUGUUUCAAGUCUUUUUAAAUUAUAUUAAAGAUUUAAACAUUAAAACAAUUGCUUAUUUAUGUACUUGUGGAACACUUACAGUUAGUCAUUAGUCAUGUAUUAAAAAUAAAAUAAAAGUAACCGAAACAUUUUUCGAGUAUCUUUAGAUGAAUCGUGCAAUCCAGUACCAUUUUCAUACAUUUAAACUUUAAAAUAAAAUAUUAAAAUUAAUAUAUAAUAUAAUAAUAUCAAUAAAUAUAAUGUUUGUUUCUCAAGCAGCCUUAAAACAAUGUGAGAAUUUGUCAUUCUUGUCCAUUUUAAAAAGCUUCGAAAAGCUUUAAAAAUCUAUCAGAUUCAUUUCUUCCAAAUAAUUCAAUUAUAAUAAUUUAUAAUAUCGAAACAAAAUAAAUAUCAUCAUAAUAUCAUUCAAUUUUGAAUUUUUUAUGAGGCUAAGUUAACUUAAAGUUAUGAGAAUAGUUAUGAUAUAUGUAAUUUUAAAUAGCACUUUUUUGCUUAAUUAGAAAUAUUAAUAGAUAAUGUUAAUCGCGAAUCAAAGCCUUCCAUCAAUUUUUUUAUUUAAUUGUACUAAAUUGGAGUGAUAUAAUUGAAUAAUUAACAUUGACAAAAAAUAUUAUAUUUAUUGAAGGUAAUAAAUAAGUAUUUUGUGAUGCUAAAUAUUGUUACUUCCUUAAGCUAUUUAGAUAUUUAUAAUCAGAAUCUACACACAAUGAAGAUACAUACCAUAAAUAUUAGUUAUUGUUGCUUAAUAACAGUUCACAAAAAAUGCCUUGAAUGUUACUUAAGUAAGUAAAAUAUAAGUCCGUUUUGACACAAAUCUAUAAUAUCUUAUAAGUUUUCAAAUAUAUUUGGUAACUACAAUUUUUUUACUCCUAAUUUAUAUAAUCCGUACAUCGCUCGAUCAAAAAAACUCCUUCACCUUUCAAAUUAGGUACAAAUAACCCAUAACAUUUUUUUGUGAAAAUCAUAUAAGGUAAUUUUAUUUGGAUCAAUAAAAAGCCACGGACGUUCAUUAGAGUGUGUGGUGAGGUGGAACAACAUUUGUCUUUGAUUGAAUUGAAAAAAAAAAAUAAACUUAGUCACAAAAACAAACACGAAAUUCUAUAGUCUGUGAUGAUGUCAUGUAUUUUUUUAUACUGAAUAAGUCUUGUUACAAUCAAAUGUAUAAAUAAAAAAAUGUAUAUUUG